UCUUUCUGCUUUGAUGAUAUCUGUGAAUCCCAGCUCAUGAUGAGACCUUUCGUAGGUCGGGGAAUAGUCUUUACCCACAAUAUCUGAGCCUCAAGU